AAUGAACGCUGGCGGCGUGCCUAACACAUGCAAGUCGAACGCGAAAGUCCUUCGGGAUGAGUAAAGUGGCGCACGGGUGAGUAGCGCGUAGGUGACCUACCUUUUAGCGGGGGAUAACCAGAAGAAAUUUUGGCUAAUACCGCAUACGAACAGCAAAAGUAGAAGUAGCUGUUGAAAGAAUGCCUCUGUAUAUGCAUUCACUAAAAGAUGGGCCUGCGUUGCAUUAGCUAGUUGGUGGGGUAAUGGCCUACCAAGGCGACGAUGCAUAGCCGGUCUGAGAGGAUGAUCGGCCACACUGGAACUGAGACACGGUCCAGACUCCUACGGGAGGCAGCAGUGGGGAAUAUUGCGCAAUGGGGGAAACCCUGACGUAGCAACGCCGCGUGAGUGAGGAAGGACUUCGGUCUGUAAAGCCCUGUUAAUGUAGAAAAAUGGCAGAUGGUCUAAUAGGCCGUUUGUUUGAUGGUAUACAUAGAGGAAGCACCGGCUAACUUCGUGCCAGCAGCCGCGGUAAUAC
rnacentral:rRNA from 1 species